UACGAGGGGGGCAAGCGUUGUUCGGAAUUAUUGGGCGUAAAGGGCGCGUAGGCGGUGCGGUAAGUCACCUGUGAAAUCUCCGGGCUUAACUCGGAGCCUGCAGGCGAAACUGCCGUGCUUGAGUGUGGGAGAGGUGCGUGGAAUUCCUGGUGUAGCGGUGAAAUGCGCAGAUAUCAGGAGGAACACCGGUGGCGAAGGCGGGUCUCUGGGCCGUAACUGACGCUGAGGAGCGAAAGCGUGGGGAGCGAACAGG
rnacentral:rRNA from 1 species